AUCGAAAAGUAAAUUUAGACGAGGCGGCCGCGGAAUGAUCCCGUUUGGUAUGUUGUACAUACGCGGUGUUGUAGUAGCGAGAAUGUGAUUUUAUUAUUGUAAAUUCGAUCAUUGAAAACGCGAGUGCCGUCCAACAAAUUUUUAGGUAAAAAAAUUCUUGUUUCCACUUUGGUUUGGGUUCUUACCGUGGCCCGGUACAUUCUCGAAAAGACUACAAUUUCCACCACGCGUCCCGUUCCCCGUCUCCCGCCUCGACGAACGCCUCGCCUCGAAUCUCCCCAAAAGUGUCGCCCAGGUCCAGUCGUAGGGUGUUCCGAAGGAGUCGGAGCCCCGCCACCCCCCAGAGCCCCACCAGCCCCAAUUUAGGCGGCAGCAGACGCAGUU
rnacentral:misc_RNA from 1 species